UAGCAAAGGGCAGAGCCAACAGCAUAUGUCUUAAAGUGGAAGGUGGGAAUUAUUCAGUCUGAAAUGAACUGCCCUGCUGAACCCAGCUGCCAGCCCAUGUCUAUCUGUCUUAGCAUCAAGACCUAAGAUACUUUACAACAAUCGUUACCAUUGUGCCCAGGAGGUGACUCUCACUGCUGAUGACAGAUGGCUGACUUCUUAGGAUCCCUGGGAUUUUUGAAGAGAGUAUUUUCGCCUAGCCUCCUCUUGAUCCUCACUCAUGUUCUCCUCUUCCUUCAUCCUGGGAAGGCGAACUCAGUGAUAGGCCCUGAGGAAGUAAUAUUGGCCCAUGUGGAGCACGAGGUGGAGUUCCUAUGCCAAUUGUCACAGCCCCUGAAUGCGGAGCACAUGGAGAUUCUUUGGUUCCGCGGCCAGGCCUCAGAUGUGGUGCAUCUGUACCAGGAUGGGCAGGAGCUCUUCGAAAGGCAGAUGGUGCAGUUCCAGAACAGGACCAAACUCUUCACAGAUGCAAUUGUUGAUGGCAGUGUGACCCUGCAGCUCUACGGUGUGGUGCCCUCUGAUGAGGGUCCUUAUGGAUGCCGAUUCCACUCUGACAACUUCUCUGGCAGCGCCAUCUGGAUGCUGGAGGUAGCAGGGCUGGGCUCAGACCCUCAUAUUUCCCUUGAGGGCUACAAGGAAGGAGGCAUUCAGCUAAGAUGUAGCUCCACUGGCUGGUACCCAAAACCCAAGGCUCAGUGGAGGGACCAUAGAGGCCAGUGCCUGUCUCCAGAGUCUGAAGCCAUCUUCCAGGAUGUUCAAGGCCUGUUCCAUCUGGAGACAUCUGUGGUUGCCGGAGGGACAGCCCCUAGCAACGUGUCCUGCUCCAUCCAGAACCCCUUGCUGGACCAGAAGAAGGAGUUUGUGCUCCACAUAGCAGACGCGUUUCUGCCGGGAGCCUCCCCCUGGAGGAGCGCGUUCCUGGGGACCCUGGCGGCCGCCGCUCCGCUGCUGCUGCUGGUCCUGGCGGCGCUGGCGUGGGUGCGCGCGCGGACUCAGGUGGAGCGCGGAGUCGCGAUGCUUUCGAAGCAGCUGCAGGAGCAGAGGCGGGCGGAGGAGGAGCAGCGAGGAAGGCUAACCUGGCAGCUGGGUGAGUGCUGGGUACCUAAACGGCUGCGGCUCCAUCUGAGAGGGGUCCGGCUACGUAUUCCCCUACGAUUUCUCCGCCUAAAGACUGCUUCCCCGGCCACUGCCCGGGGUGAAUUCUCACUGGGAAGCUGGGCACUGUCAAUCCCUACCGCAGUGGGAGUGAUUUAUCACAUCCACAAGCCGGGUGGGGAGGGCUGCGGACGGGAUGGUGAGUGAGCCCUCAGCACAGGAACGGGAAGGAGGCCUCCCUGGGUGGAAGGAAGACUCAGGACCAAAACUCCAGACAAAAUUAAGGUCAGGGAAACGUGUUUGCAGUCUACCUAGUGCUGAGGGCGCCGGAGUGGGGGGAACCAAAGCAAAACAGCUGUCAUCGAUCGUAACCCCAUAGUCUUAUUUGGUGGAUAACGUUGCUUUUCGAAGGAUCAUUUUCUUUUAAAAGAAAAAGUGGACAGUUCAGAGGAAUGUAUCCUCCUGGCAAAAUGUCCUAGUCCUUCGCAAAUAAUCGAAUGUGAUAUUUCUGGACCUUUAGUGAUUUCUCCAGUAAGAGAGCCCGAGACUCGCGCAGCUGCGCUUGCGCAGUGUCCGGACUGACUGGAGGCUCCCCCUGGACAAGCUUGCACUUUCUGGAACGAAGAGCCAGGAGCAUCUUCAAACCAAACCUUGCCCCAAAUCUUUGUCUCCCAGAGCCAGGAGCCCAGGCAUCAAAAGCCUGCAGAUGGGUCUGGGGCAGGGAACAGUGGGAGAAGCUUCUGAUGCAGUUGGACUCAAGAAGGGCUGAAGGCCAAGCUGACCCCCACCUGGACAGAGAAGAAAAAUUUCCCUGAGCAGAGCCGCUGAGCACAGCUGCAGAGACAGAAAUAACAGGCCAACAGAGUCUGCAAAAAGGAGAUGAACACACAACUGCUGCACACAGCUGCACCUGUGAGACAUGGAUGUCACCAAGGCUCCCAACUCCGCAGACCCAGACCCCACACACCCACCCCUCCCUGCCGUACUCUCCCUAUACUAACACCCAUGUGAAUGGUCGUAUUACCCUUGUCCCAUCUGUACCCAGCUCGAAUAAACUUCACUUAGUGCUUCAA